rnacentral:rRNA from 1 species
UACGAAGGGGGCUAGCGUUGUUCGGAAUUACUGGGCGUAAAGCGCACGUAGGCGGCUUGUUAAGUCGGGGGUGAAAUCCUGAGGCUCAACCUCAGAACUGCCUUCGAUACUGGCAAGCUCGAGUCCGGAAGAGGUUGGUGGAACAGCUAGUGUAGAGGUGAAAUUCGUAGAUAUUAGCUAGAACACCAGUGGCGAAGGCGGCCAACUGGUCCGGUACUGACGCUGAGGUGCGAAAGCGUGGGGAGCAAACAGG